AGCACACGACUUGAGGUUUAUAACCUAUCGUGUUGACAUAUUCUGUGCCCAUUCCAGUUAAAGUUGGCUUUGCAUAUGAGUUCUUAGAGUUCUCAAUUGGUUGCACAACAACUUGGAAGCAAUGGCAGGCCCUUGAGCUGCCAAGUGGCAAGAAAUUAAGAUUGAGUUCAAUCCAUAUGAGUUUGGAUUUGUCAUUAUCCUUGUCUUGUGACUAUGGUUUUGACAAUUCACAUGGAUAAGAACACAUACACCAUUAAAUCUAAGUGUCAUAAGGUUUCUCUCCGAUUCAUGAAAAUGAUGGUGAGGAAACACUUUCACUAAGUAGAUUUUAGCUAGAUAGCAAUUGUGAUAUUUGCAUUCUCAAAGUCGUUAGUGGAGCGUGUGUGGUUUACCGGCACACUAACCUGGACUUGUGAGAAGUGGCAAAAAGGUCUAACCAUUAUGAUUACGGCAUCCCUCUUCAUAAUUGUUUAGACACACAAGUGUGCUAUCUAAGGGAAGGUGUAUGAUUUUGAUAAAGUUUUAUCAAAACAAUCUAGUAUCAGAAAUCUGAACUUUGGUAAGAAAGUCAGCUGAUUUCUGAGUACAUGUCAAAGCUAGUGGGAGCAUAAGUGUUAUGCUAAUAAUCAUCAUGUUAGUGGGAGCAUGAUAAUUAUGAUAAGUAUUGCAAGUUAGCAAUGUUAAUUAUAGAAAACAAAAGUUUCAAUUGGGAAAAAGUUGUUUUGCUAUAAUUAAGGGAGAGGAAAUUAUGCUUCAUCUCAAAUCUAUAAGCUUAGAUCGUGAGGUUUUAAUCAUUUAGUCAAGGAUAUAUAUGAAUUUCAUGUUGGAAUGGCUCAACAUAAGGAAAUUCUGUAUAUGGGUCCAUUAUUUGCGUUCUAAAAUUCGAUUAUGAUUACGGCAUCCCUUUUCAUAAUCUGAAUUAUGAGAACUUGGCAAAUUGAAAUGGAAAUAUUAUAGCAAAAGACUGGUUUAGUCUUUAUGUGAGACAUCAUGAAUCGUGUCCCAUAUGCUUCGGAUAUAGGAUCGAUUACAUGUGCUAUAUUCAUCCGUUCUAAAAUUUUCCAAAUGCCUGGGGCAUUAAGAAGGGAAAAGGUUUAGAACUGGAUAUGACUAAAAGGAUUAAACAAUUGUCGAGGACAAUCUAAGGUUUACCAAAGAUUGGUUGCUCAAGGACAAUUGGAAGUAUAGUGAUAAUUCUGGAAGGACCAUAUUGACAUAAUCUGUAAGGAGGCAACUCUUGUUCAGAAGUGAUAGUCAAAAUGGAAUCUGGAAAUGUUUCAAAGUUAGAAUUUUCAAUCUGUGUAAGAUUAAGGAAACUUAAUGCAAGAAGGAUAUUUCCAAGGAGUUGAUCUCCUUUGGAAUACUCUGUAAUGAUUGUUGCCAAGUCUUUGUGACUUUGUGCAUAAUCAUUACAAGAGGAUCAAUGCAUAUAAGUUUAGAAUCUAACAGAUUUCAGUAAAUGGCAUGAAUUUGGAAUUCUUGCAUUUGCAGUAAGGAUUUGGGAGUGUGAAAAGAGAAUCAUUGAAGUUAUGUUCAAUUGAUCUAGUUCACAAAGUAAAGAUCAUAGACAAACAUAGUAUGCAUACUUGGUGUGUGGCAUGACUAGUGUUUAAGAAAACAUAGUGUACAUGCUUGGAGCAUGGGACAACUAUUGUUUUAAAUUCAAGAAUAAAGUUGAUAGCUGAAACAGUAUACAAUGAAUAAUGUGUAAUCAUAUGGUGAUAAAUAAAAGGUGUUUUAUUUAUGUUCAAAGGGUUGAUACCAUAUUGGAUUCAAUUAUUAUUGUGUUUCAUUUUGCAUGUUUUGACUUCCCGAAUAAACUGGGUUAUUCUUCCGGAAUGACUAAGUUAUUCAAACCAUCCACAGUCGGUCAUAUGUUGGAAGUAGAUAUGAAUUAAGACUGUCAUGGGUUGGCUUGUAGAGGUCUAAGGUGUUGGACAAAGGGCUACAACACUCAUGAGUGCUCAUAAGUUCUGAGUAUUGGAUUCAACCCGCGCUCAUUGGAAUCACUUCAUGGAUUUUAUCACGAGUGAUCAUGAGACGAUAAUAUCUUAUAUUCUUCAAACCUAGAGAUAUGAGUUGUUACUAUGAGUUGAUAGUACAUUGAUUGCACGAAAACGCAUUUGGUAACUCGGUGCUAUAAAACGUGCCUUUGUGUAUGAUUCAACAAGUAGUAGAACAAGCCAUAUGAGUCGAAGUUUAUCCAUUCCUUUUACCUUCGGGAUAAAAGCGAUAUCUGUGGGCCCCUCGAUGAUUUGAUGAUGACAAAUGGAAGUGCUCGGCCGGGCCAGGACUGAUUUGAUUUGUUCAAUUAGUCAGUCGUCAUAAAUCGGAAAUCGGGAAACAACAAAUGGACAGAGAGAAUGAUUAUAAUCCAUGUCUCAGUCCAUAUGAUAUCUAGAAUGGAGGAAUAUAUGAUCCCUUAUCUAAUGGACAAGUCAUUGACAAAGGUCAAAGUUCAUCUACAAGGUCAGAGUUCGACUGGAGCUUUUGAGAGCUACGAUUGCUGAUCGGUUCCUAAAGUCAUACGCAAUAAUAGUUUUAGACUUAUCCAAGUGGGAGACUGUUGGAUUAAUGUCUAAGUCAAUAACUAUAUUUGGUGAGACUUGACCCGACUCGGCAUGGCCCAUUUGGGUUGCAUGGCGUCAUGCAUUUGGAUAUACUAUAAUGAGAGAAAUAACACUUAAGGUUGAUUAAUAUAUUAUAAGAUCUAAUAUACGGAUAAGAUUAUUUAAUUAGUAUUGAUCAAGAAUUAAUCUAGGAUUAAUUAAGUGAUCAAAAGAAGACAAAUUAAAUAUAUGGGUUGAUUGUGUAAAUCAUCCAUUCUUAUAUAUGUGGGCUAUUGAUCCAAGAUUCCUUAUGUUGGACUAAGUCCAUGGGGUGACCCAUGGAUACUUCAUGGAGGUUAAAAUCCAUGGAGCAUAAGGAAUGGGUAAAGUUAUGAGUUACAUGGUGUAACCCUAAUAGCCACCAUAUAAAAGAAUCCCAUGGCUCAAGAAAUCGGCCACUAUGUGUGAGAAUGAAGGGCUAGCCGAUUUCAUGAAGUGUGUAUGUUCUCUCAAGUUAUUCCAAGUGUAUUUGGUGUUGUGUGAACCAUUUGAGAUGUCACACUUUGGGCAAUAGGCACUCAAGCUUCAAGAAGACAAUCUACAUCAAAGAGGUAUGUAAUUCUAACUUGAAAUAUUCAUUUGAAUCAAUGUUAUUAUGCUAGUUAGGAUGAAUACCUUGGAAAGUUCAUAUUUGCAGGUAUAAUAGAGAAAACAUAGAUCCAAGGUAUUUAGGGUUGCAUGUACACUUAGGAGUGUUAGAAUGCUCAAAAUCCAACAAGCCUGUCGACUCGUCGAGUUCCUAUACUCAGGAAACUCCCACAACACGACUCAACUCGUCGAGUCGCCCCAAGACUCGUCAAGUUGAACGAUCUCGGAAUUCCAUCCUGACCAACUCACUAAGUCGCCAACCGACUCGCUAAUCCAAAGCUUUAACCAAAAGAGGUUGGUUUCUUCGACCAUACUCCCCAAGUCCAAGAACAGACUCACAGAGUCCAAGGCAAUCUUCAACAGACUCGCCGAGUUGUUCUUCCAACUCGCCGUCGAGUCCAUGCACAUGUUCAUACAACUCGUUGAGUACACCCAUGUGACUCGCCGAGUCUCUUUAGUUCUCAAUCCAUACAGAGGCUUUUCGAGCUAUGCAGGGGCUCCAAUCAAUAGAUCCACUCUUCUACAGGCUAACCCUCACAUAAAGUUGCAAACUUUACGUGAAACCAAGGAGAUAUAGGCCCAAAACACUCUAGGGCUUGGGUUUUAGUCAAAGGGGCUUCACCAACAACUCAAUGACUGAAGCUUUAUGACAUUAUGGACCAUCACAAGCCUAGAUCUGAAGUAGCAACCUUAGAUCUAAGCCUCUAACUCGAAAUAGCUCUUAAUCAUACCAAAAAUGCCCCAAAUCUCACAUGAUAAUAGAACUAGAUGCAAAAGAGCCCAAGCAACAGAUUAUUACCUCCAAUAUAAGCUCCAACUAAAGUAGAUCCCGAAUCUACAUCCCUCCUUUGCAGCAAACCUCUUGAUCUUCAAGCCCCUUUCAACCAAAAUACUUAUCAAGGCUCCAAAUUGCUUCCAAGGCUCUCACUCACGAUUUAGGGUUUAUGGAUCUCAAAAGGGUAGCAAAGAGGCUGAGGGUGGGUUAUAAUGUGCUUUAUAUAGGGCACAACCCCCGGGAUUAGGGUUUUCUCUCUUCAGCACCAACUCGUCGAGUCCAAGCCGCCGACUCGGCGAGUUGGCCACUUAAACCGCGACAUAAUCCCGCUCUGACUUGGCGAGUAAGCAGACCUACUCAUCGAGUCCCUUUCCUAAAUUUACACUUUUGGCCCUUUAUUGAUCAUUAGAAAUUUGGGGUGUUACAACUCUCCCCCACUUAAAUUAGGCUUCGUCCUCGAAGCCUACUGCAGUAUACGCCUCAGAACAAACCCUUUUCACUGCAGACUCUGACUUCUCAAUCAACUCAUGCUCUUACAAACACACCUUCACGCCCUGCGAACGCUAGAUACCACAAACAACCACUGAGCUCUGCCAAGACACCAAUCCAUCUUCCUUCGCCCAAAAUUGGUGAUAACCCUGAUAAAAUACAACCUGGAACGAAUCUUUUUCCGCCCUUUGGUUCUAUCCCUUAUGCGCUGACAGGAUACUGCAUCCCUCAACUCCCAUAACCCAUCAAUCAAACACUACGCGUAACCACUCGUACCUGUCCCAAUCAGCCUUGGGCUGGAAUACCAAACACAUCAGGUCCAAUCAACCAUAGGGUCCGAUCAUCCUUAUGAUGGAAUACCCCAGAUUGGAAUACCUUCACAUACAUAACUCAAGCCUACACCCAUACUCGGAAUUAAGGACCCUGUCCUUGCGUAACCCUCGAACCCUUCGGUUCGACACAAUGGAGUACGACCCACUCAUACCUCCCUAUCACGAUCUCUAGGUCAUUGACCCCCAAAUGUAAUAUCCUUAUACAGUCGUCAGCAUCGGUCCAGACUACUCCCGAGUCUGUUAACCUGAUGUCUCACCUUCCUCUGUCCCAAUCUCCAUUCUGGAACCAGUAUCCUCCUCCUCUUCCAAGGAGACUGAAAACAUGCCUGCGCAUCAUCCAACGUUGCCACAACCUCAACGGGCAUCCAACCCGUAUGUGCUUCCAUAUAUCUGGUACAAUCCCAGUGCUUACUAAUAACAACUGAAGCACUUUCGAUCAUCCCUUUAUUCUGCUGCCUUCCUUUCAGAGGACCCACACUCCUUUUGGAGCUACAUACCUUUCCUUUCCAGGAAGUCUACUCAACAACCCUUACCGCACCUAUAAGUGCCACUGAGCUAAAACUCCACCCUACACUAUCCAUGUAGAGCAACUGCUAUUCUCGAACUCCCAUAUACUCCGACUCCGAUCACAUAGCUGACUAGGCCCAUGCAUGGCCUCCCACCAACUCAAUCGUCAUGAUCAAUACUUGGGGCCAGACCAUAUCGAUUACCAUUUCAUGGCGACAUAUUCCCUCAUUCUCCUCAUACCGAUCCACUAACACAUACAGAGUCUUCAACAUGACUGGAUCGCCCUCCUGGGCCUUCAGCCUGUUUGGACCGUUCCCCGAGCCUUCGGUCUGACUAGUACACCUCUCGGCCUUUAGUCUAUCCGGACCGCUCAAACCUGUCGUACGUCACCCUAAACCAUCCUUUUCGGGAAUCUCUCCCAUGCAGUCUGUUCUAGCCUUCUUGGGGUUUCGAACUCCUGUUCCGUUCCUGGAAUCCUUUCCAUGGCCUAAACCCAGGCCUCACAUCGACCACUACUUUCCCUGAAACCAUGGUCUGUUCCCUUCCCCACUUGUCUAUCACUUGCUCCAAUCAUGCCACACUCUCGGCUAACAACACCGAUAAAUCUAAACAGCUAACCAACCCUGGAUAAUUGCUAUUUUACCGGAGAAUUUUCCAAUUCUCCCCACCUAGUGUACCAACUACUAACUUUCGCUGAUAAACCAACAUCACUCGAUCGACCUUACUUGAAUAAGUUUCCCCCUCUUCUCCAGGAACAAAAUCCUUCCAAAGUGAGCAACCUCCACGGUCACUCUCCCGACAUCGCACAUCCCGAACUCCAAGGAAGUUCAAAUCUUAACUGAACACUUCUCGCAUCGCAGUUGCUAUUCCAAGCAACGAGAUCAUAUACCUAAUCUUUUGACCAAGAAUCCUCCUGGACGCUAACCAACUACAACUCCUAACUAUUAAGAUCCUCAAUCAUACUACGAAUCAUGCGGAAAAGGUGAACAAAUUUACAAUACCACAUAAUCAGCAAAUAACAAAAUAUCAAAAUGGAAACAUACCCGCAGUUGCAUCCGGCUCUGACUUGACCUCCUCUGCUGUAAGCUAGAAAGAGCGUCCUUGAGCCCUCGGAGGCUCCGCUCCACCCUGACCUCCACCCAUAAUCCUCAAGGUGGCCGGUGUUGGAGCCUGCACCGGUCUUGCAACAAGUUGUGGACAGUUGACCCUCAAGUGUCCAACCUGAUGACAAUGAUAAUAGAUCCUCUUAUCCUGAGCCGUGACCGACUGACGACAAUCCCUCGGAUAAUGCCCGUUUUUACCACACUUGCGACACGCACCACCGGACCUACAAACUCCGGCAUGACCCUUCCCACACUUCUCACAAGUGCGGCUGCUCUGACCUCCAACCCUGGAGUCAACGGUUUUGGACCGUUUUGGCGCCGGCUGUGACUGCAGCGGGGCCUGCCUCUACUCUCAUAACUACAACUCCAUCUCUAACUCCCACCGCCUGGCAGCCUCCUACAAAUCUAACAAGGUAUCACACCUCUGCGUAGACACAAACUGCCUGAUGUCCCUCUUGAGCAUACUUAGAUACCCGGACAUCUGAGCCUGCUCCGAAGCAAACUCCGUGAAAAACAUCGCCCUCUCAGUGAACAUUCUAGUGAUCUCCGUCAUCGACUCUGAAACCUGAUUCAGCUCCAGGAACUCCUGAGCCAACCUCUCUCUCUCUCUCUCUCUCUCUCUCUCAACCCGUGGAACGUAACGAGUGCUGAACAUCUCCCGGAACUGAUCCCAAGUAACCGCAACCCACUGCGCAUCCAAAUAAGAUCCCGUAGUCAACCUCCACCAAUCCUUCGCCCCGCGCCUUAAAAGGUUCAAAGCACACCUCACUCUCUGAUCAGCAGGGCAUGAACACGUGAAGAAACAGCCUUCCAUGUCUGACAACCAUCUCAUAACAACGAUCGGAUCCUGAACUCCAUCAAACGUAGGGGGCUUCGUAUUAUCGAAUUCCCGAUACUGAAAACCUCGACCGGUUCCUCCCCCUGCCGUUGUAGCUGCCGCGGCAGUUGCCUUCGCAAGAGCUGCAUAGCGCUCAUGAAAGCACUCCAUCAUAGCGGUCUUGAUCGACCCAAACAUCUUCGGCAACUCAGACCGGAACAUAGUAGCAACCUCAUCAUGCAAGAUCUCACGAAUCCUGACAUCCAACUCAUCCGUACUCAUCUGACCAAUAACCACGGGUGGCACUAAUCCAUCCUGAUCACCUUCUCCUGAUCCUGCCCCGAGACGUCUCAUAAUCGCCAUACUGAAAAUACGCCACAAGAUAUUUGGCAUUCCUCAUAAUAACCCCGAGAACUAGUUCCCAACAAAACUCUAGGGGUUGUGACUUCCUGGAUACGCGUAUGGGUCCUGUGCUUUCAGUAGUACGGGCCCAUACUACCUUCCACACCUACCCAUAUUUGUAUCAAGUAUCACCACAACACCCUAACAAUAACAUAUACAUAAUGAACACUUGACCCCCACUCCUAGAGGAGCAUCACUAUCCCAUAACCGACCUACCAGUCUCACACAACCCUCCCAUCCAUGAAGCUUCCACCAACCCUGAAGCACUAGUGUAUGCUAGUCAUACAUAACGCUGAACCCUAUAGACUUUCGAAUAUCCAAUCCUACCCUAAGCUCCCAAUCAUACAAGAACAGAACAUAAGGCCAAAUCAAACAUUCUCAGGCUAUAAGAUCUUAAUUAUAUAUAACCAUGAUGCAUACACUAAACAACUAUAAUAAUGAUGUCAAUUUCAUACAAGGAAACCCUAGGCUAGCAGGCAUCAUAAAAUCAGGCAAUUCUAUGAUGCAAUUCCUGAAGAUCCCUAGCCUAGUACUAGCAUGUUGUUCUAACAUAUCACAUAAUCAAUAACUUGUAUGGUAUUUUGGGGUCCACUUACUGGCUCUGGCUGAUCGUACCCUCUGCAUCCUCCUUUACUUAUUUCGAAAAAGCUUUUGAAAACCAUUUUGAAAAUCCCUCCUUGAUUUGAGACUGGAUUCACAUGAAUGUUCCUCCAAUUCACUCAAACCAAGGCUCUGUUACCAACUUGUAACACCCAUAAAAUUUGAGCCAAAUUAGAGCAUCUUAUCUCAUUCAAAAACCAUUAGGUUCAUACAUCUGGUUUUCAAAAUAGUUUAAACAUCAGAGUAUCCCCCAGAACCAUAUCACAUAAAUCAUAAAACAUGAGGAGCGGUACGAUCACGCCUUCGCCUUGCCACGAUCUCCUGAAGUACCUGAAACAAUACAUUGAACUAUAAGCCCGAAAGCUUAGUGAGUUACCCCCAAACUACCAACCACAAAUAAACAUACUCAUAACAUAUCACAAUAGAACACCCAUGCACAUUGGGUCUAUUAUGUGACUGGUCCGCCCACACCGGGCCUUCAGUCCACCUGGUCCACCCUCCGAGUCUACCUAUGUACAUCGAGUCUACAGUGUGAUUGGUCUGCCCGCACCGGGCCUUCAAUCCACCUGGUCCACUCUCUGAGUCUACAGUAUGACUGGUCCGCUCACACCGGGCCUUCAGUCGGCCUGGUCCAUUCUCCGAGCCUCGGCACGUCUGGUCCGCCCUCUUGGGGCCUCCAGCCUAUCCGGACCGCUCACUGGGCCUUCGGAAUAUCCGGUCCACCCUGGGUAUGUUGGCCUACAACACAAAGCAGGACCCGCCUCAACCCAACCCCCGUCAAUCAACCAUGUGCACAUAAAACAAUUAAUCACAUAACAAAUCCUUAACCAGGCAAAUAGUCUAACAGAUCACAUAACAUAUCAACAUCCUAACCAGGAUUCUGACCUAACCGGUCACUAGCAUAACAUCACCCUAUAUACCGGGUACCGACCUUAACCAGGUCAAUAACAUAACAUUACCCUAAAUACCGGGUACAUACCUUAACCAGGUCACUAACAUAACACCAUCCUAAAUAUCAGGAUGUAGAUCUAGCAAAGCAAUAACAUACCAAACAAUACCCGGAUUUCCAUCCGAUAAAGGGUCGGCCUUGGUGCCGUAGACCCUGUUGAUAUAGUGAGGAUAACUCACCUGUAAUUGCCGACUGAAGAGAUGAGACAAAGCUGCUCCGACCAUCGACACAAACUCCACCACAAAACACUAUCAAAGAACCAAUUCCAUAAAUACCAAAAUUACCAAAAUACCCUUGGAAAUCAAACUGGUCAACUCUUGGUCAAAGUCAAAGUCAAAGUCCUCAGUCAAAGUCAACCUUCCUGGUUGACUCCACUCGCCGAGUCAGCCCAUCGACUCGUCGAUUUCCUAUACUCAGGAAACUCCCACAACACGACUCAACUCACCGAGUCGCCCCAAGACUCGUUAAGUUGAACGAUGUCGGAAUUCCUUCCUGACCAACUCACUGAGUCGCCAACCGACUCACUAAUCCAAAGCUUUAACCAAAAGUGGUUGGUUUCUGCGACCAGACUCGCCGAGUCCAAGAAUGCUCAAAAUCCAACAAGCCCGUCGACUCGUCGAGUUCCUAUACUCAGGAAACUCCCACAACACGACUCAACUCACUGAGUCGCCCCAAGACUCAUCGAGUUGAACAAUCUCGGAAUUCCAUCCUGACCAACUCACUAAGUCGCCAACCGACUCGCUAAUCCCAAGCUUUAACCAAAAGAGGUUGGUUUCUUCGACCAUACUCCCCAAGUCCAAGAACAGACUCACAGAGUCCAAGGCAAUCUUCAACAGACUCGCCGAGUUGUUCUUCCAACUCGCCGAGUCCAUGCACAUGUUCAUAUAACUCGUCGAGUACACCCAUGUGACUCGCCGAGUCUCUUCAGUUCUCAAUCCAUACAGAGGCUUUUCGAGCCUUGCGGGGGCUCCAAUCCAUAGAUCCACUCUUCUACAGGCUAACCCUCACAUAAAGUUGCAAACUUUACGUGAAACCAAGGAGAUAUAGGCCCAAAACACACUAGGGCUUGGGUUUUAGACAAAGGGGCUUCACGAACAAUGCAAUGACUGAAACUAUAUGACAUUAUGGACCAUCACAAGCCUAGAUCGGAAUUAGCAACCUCAGAUCUAAGCCUCUAACUUGAAAUAGCUCUUAAUCAUACCAAAAAUGACCCAAAUCUCACAUGAUAAUAGAACUAGAUGCAAAAGAGCCCAAGCAAGAGAUUAUUACCUCCAAUAUAAGCUCCAACUAAAGUAGAUCCCGAAUCUACACCCCUCCUUUGCAGCAAACCUCUUGAUCUUCAAGCCUCUUUCCACCAAAAUCACUUAUCAAGGCUCCAAAUUGUUUCCGAGGCUCUCACUCACGAUUUAGGGUUUUUGGAUCUCAAAAGGGUAGCAAAGAGGCUGAGGGUGGGUUAUAAUGUGCUUUAUAUAGGGUACAACCCCCGGGAUUAGGGUUUUCUCUCUUCAUCACCAACUCAUCGAGUCCAAGCCGCCGACUCGACGAGUUGGCCACUUAAACCGCGACAGAAUCCCCAUCCGACUCGGCGAGUAAGCGGACCUACUCGUCGAGUCCCUUUCCUAAAGUUUACACUUUUGGCCCUUCAUUGAUCAUUUGAAAUUUGGGGUGUUACACUAUAUCUUCAAAAGAACUAGGUGUCAGAUUUUCUAGGGGUGAGGUUCUUUUUAUAGUGCGGUCAGGAAACCCUAGAUAAGCCCAAAUCCAACAUUAUCUUGAACUAUGUAAUUAUCUACUUUCCUAAUUAUCCACCAAGGAUAAUUCUAGAAACCCUAAGGCUCCUUGAAACCGUCCAAGCCUUAUGGAGGGUUCUAGAAUGCCUCUUGUUCAAUUAUUGAACAAUAUCACUUCAGUCCCUACAUUUUUAAUUAAUUCUUUUAAACACACAAUUAAUUCCAAUUAAUUUAGAUAUAAUAUUAAUUAAAUAUUACUGUUUCUAAUUAAUACAUUAUUUCCAUGAUAUAUUAACAAAUUAUUUAUUUCAAUUUAUUAAUCGAAUAAUAAAUCAACAUCUCUCUCCAAAAAUCAUCACGUCAAGUUGUUAGUUUGAGUGUAACCCAAAAGCAUUGUGUUACUAUCAAUUCAAGUAUAUACCAAUUAUAGUUAUAUCCUUAGACACCUAAUCUAAUAGUCACCCACUUGGAUUAGUCUAAUAACUAUAAUUGCUAGUAUAUUCUUCUAAGCCGAUCAACAAAUUGUAGCUCUCAAUAGCUAACAUCGAAGUAUGGCCUAGUCAGUUACGUGUCCUAAGAUAAGUGAUUAUAUAAUCCUCCGUUCUACAAGAUAUCAUUCAUAUAUGAGACAUGGAACAUAAUUAAUCUCAUCGCCCAAUACUUUGUUUCCCUAUUUAUGAUUUGUAAUGACAUAGAACUUCAAAUCGAACACAUUAAUCAAGUCCUGGUCGGGCUUGAUACUAUAAAUCAACACAAAAUCACCGAGUGGCCUAAAGAUAUCGUUUUUACCGUUAAGGCAAAAGGAACAGAUAAACUUUGACUUAUAUGCUUAAACUAUUUACUCAUGAAAUCAUGCCAACAAUACGUUUUAUAACAUCAACUUACAGAUGUGUUUACGUAUCAUCAAUGCACAACUAAUUUGUAAACUACAACUCAUAUAUCUCCGUCAAAAGAUUAUAAGAUAUUAUUGUUUUAAAAUUACUCGUGAUAAAUUCUAUGAAGUAAUUCUCUGAGUGUGGGUUAAUCCAAGACUUAAAUCUCCAUUUCAAAGUACUCAAGAAUAUUGCAACAAUAUUGUUAUGUGUAAAACCCUUUAGACAAUCUACAAUUCAAUUCAUGAUAGUCUUAACUCACCACUUACUUCUAAAAGUAUGAUCGACUGUGAAUAUUUGACCAAUCAAAUUAUUCUAGAAGUAAAACAUACAAAAUGAAACACUAAAUAAACAAUAGAAAGAAGGUAGUAAUCCAACUCAUAAAUAAAUCUCCAUUAUUUAAUCACCAAAAGUCAAUUACAUUUAUUCUGUUACAAGUUUCAAAAUAACUAUCUAACUACUAAAACUAAUAUCAUCUUUCAGACCAAUGGUCCUAGCAUGUUGAACAUGCUUGACCCGACUCAGGCCCAUUGUGAGGGGGUCAGCUAGAUUUUCUUCUAACGAUACCCUCUUCACAACGAGGUGACCUUGUUCUAUCCUAUGUCUAAUGAAAUGGUAUUUUCUAUUGCUAUGUAUCGAUCUACCAUGACCUUUUAGCUCCUUUGUUAAGGCAACCGAUCCUUUAUUAUCACAGAAAAUCUUCAUGGAUCCUUAAUGGCUAGAACAACUCCAAGGUCUCCAAUGAAGUUUUUCAACCAAAUAGCCUCCUUCGAUGCUUUACUUUCUGUUAUGUACUCUGAUUCACAAGUAGAAUCAGCCAUCAUCCCCUGUUUGGAACUUUUCCAGGUUACCACUCCUCCAUUAAGGGUAAACACCCAGGCAGAUAGAGAACGAAAGUUGUCUCUGUUUGUUUGAAAGCUGUUGUCACUAUAACCAGUUACUCUCAAUGUAUCACUGCCACCAAGCAUAAGGACCGAGUCCUUAGUUCUUCGCAGAUACUUGAGAAUAUUCUUAACAGUUGUCCAGUGAGCUCUGCCUGGAUUUCCCUGAUAACGACUAACCAUUCUCAAAGCAAAAGCCACAUCAGGGUGAGUACAUGUCAUAGCAUACAUGAUAGAUCCAAUGGUGGAAACAUAUGGAACUCUACUCAUUUAUGUUAUUUCUGCAUUGGUACUCGGACCCUGAGUCUUACUCAAUUUGGUAUUACUCUGGAUAGGCAGUUCUCCUUUCUUGACAUUCUUCAUACCAAAACGCUUUAGUACCUUUUCCAAGUAUGUACUUUGACUAAAUCCAAUUAGUCUUUUUUUUAUCAUUUCUCUCAAACACCUUAUCCCCAAAAUAUAAGCAGCCUCUCCUAGAUCCUUCAUAGCGAAACACUUUCCAAGCGAAGACUUAACCUCUUGCAAUGUUGGAAUGUCAUUUCCUAUAAUAAGUAUGUUGUAAAUGUACAAUACCAGGAAGGUUAUUAUACUCCCGCUAGCUUUGACAUAUACACAAGAUUCAUCUUCACUUCUAGAGAAGCCGAACUCUUUGACCUUCUCGUCAAAGCAAAGAUUCCAGCUGGUAGAAGCUUGUUUCAAUCCAUAGAUUGAUUUCUUAAGCUUACAUACCCUAUGCAAAUAAUUUGCAUCCAUAAAACCCAUUGGCGGACUUGUAAACAAUCUCAGCCAAUUUCUUGUUAAAGAAAUCGGUUUUGAUAUCUAUCUGCCGAAUUUCAUAGUCAGGAAACGCAACUAUGGCUAGCAUUACCCUUAUAAAUUUUAUCUUAGCUAUUGGUGAGAAGGUCUCAUCAUAGUCAACUCUGGGGUUUGAGUAAAGCCCUUCACAACCAUUCUAGCCUUGAAAGUGUGUACCUUUCCAUCUGUGUCAGUCUUCUGUUUGAAGAUACAUUUGAACCCAACUAUCUUACAGCUUGGUACAUUUUCAAACAAAUUCCAAACUUGGUUGUCAAAUAUGGACUUGAUAUCGCUGUCCAUUGCUUCUUUCCAUUUGGCUGAUUCAGGGCCAACCAUUGCUUCCUUGUAGUUAGAAGGUUUAUCCAAAUUUACCAAUGUAUUAUCACUGAUAAACGUAUCACCAACUGCAUUAAUAUGAAAGCUAUAGAACUCAGAUGGCAUUCUAACUUUAGUGGAAUGCCUAAGAGGUAAUGAUUUGUUAACCGGUUCAACUAUAAUAUCUUCCUCAGGUUAAGCCCUAGCAUCUUCAGAAGUUCCUUCAUCAUUUGACUCUUGAAUCUCUUCAAGAUCAAUUGUACUCCCCCUGUCCUCUUUUACAUAUGAUCACCCUCUCUCUCGAAAUACCCCCCCCCCCCCUUUGUGAUCCAAAGACCAUGUUUUCACUAGGUCUGUAGAACAAAUAUCCAAAGGACUUCUGUGGACAGCCGAUGAAAAUACAUCUCUCACGUCGAGGUUCAUGCUUGUUAUGAAUCUCUCUUGUAAUAAAAGCUUCACAACCCCAAACCUUGAUAUGUGCUAACGAGGGAACCUUCCCUGUCCACAUCUCAUGAGGUGUUUUGGAAACCUUGUUAGUAUGGACAAGAUUAAGAAUGUGGGUGACAGUCUCUAAGGCAUACCACCAAAAUGAGAUUGAAAGUGAAGCUCAAAUCAUCAUGGAACGAACCAUGUCCAACAAGGUUCGAUUACACUUCUUAACCACACCAUUAAGUUGUGGUAUCCUAGGAAGUUUCAUUUGUGAAACUAUUCUACAUUCCUUGAGGUAGUCAUGGAACUCGAUACUAAGAUACUUAUCGUCUCUAUCAGAUCUAAGCAUGUUUAUCUUCCUGCCCAGUUGAUUCUCGACUUCUUGAUUAAACUCCUUAAACUUUUCAAAAGUUUCUGGAUAAUAGAGUACAUUACAUAAGGAUAAGAAAAACAUAACAAUGGACUGCGGAUGCUGAAGAAGAACUGACUCUAGGUGCUGAGAUGAUCGCGGAUGGUGAACCGUUGCGGUAGAUCGAUGAUUGCGGUAUCUUAGUUCAAGAGGGUCACUUUUAUGUUUCAACAAUUUCCCCCUAAGUGACCUCUUUAACUCCGAUUCAUGUAUCAAGUUUGAGGAACUUGAUCAAAAUCCACCAGAACUUCUGACGUUUUCAAGCCAAGUGAUUCUUGUAGAAAUUUCAAACUUGACUUCAGUGGUAGUAUGCUUCGAUCUUUCUACUGUGGUUUUGCAGAUAUCAAGUUGUUUCUUGGGCAGGCGGUGCAUAGCAUUAAUCGGAAUGAAGUAUUUGACGUUGUCAACCUUCCGUUUGAAUAUGAUACCAAGUUCAGGAAAGUUUGUUGCGCCUAGUGAUCUUUCUUCAAAGCCUUCGGUAGGCAUUGGCACAGGUUCAAGUGGGGUAAGAUCAAACUUACUGAUGAUGGUGGGGUGGAUAUCCAAAUCAAUCUUGGCGAAGUCACAAAUUGUAUCCCUCAGAAAGGAUUUGGCUUUGUCAAGCGCCAUUUGCAUCUUCGGAUGCUUUUCUGCCUUGUUUUGGAAUACUCUGGCGAGAGGAAGAUUUCUUCUGGAUUCAUGCUUGGGAAAUCUGCCUGAGUGCGUAUGUAGUCAUGCUCUCUUCUGGUAAGGGUGUACUGAACGAAGUCAGCCUUCAUAAACUUCCGCAUCUUGUAAUUCUUGACUGCGGAUGGUCUAUUGUUAGACCAUAUGUUUUCAACAGAAGAGACAUGCUUCGCAUAAAAGCUAUUAAGUCUUUCAAGUUCCACAGACAGUCGUUUGUGAUCAGGGAGGCUGCAGCCAAAAGACUCAAAAACUGCAAAAUACUUGGCAUUGGGAGAGAUUGGAAUAUCCCAAUAUCCAUCAGAGGGAGGUUCAGCAUAUGUGAGAUGUGGAGUGUAGUCUUCAUCCAGUAGCCUGCGGAGCGGAUUGACCCAUAAGUUAAUCAGCGACUCAUCUAUCAUAGUAUCAAAAUCGCGUUCUCUCCAUAUAAGUUCAGCAAGCUUGGCCGCUUUCCAAUCGUGUUUUCUUUGGGCUGUGGCAGGAGAGUCUGUGGAACUUGCUGAUGACAUAUUUUCCUCAAGAUUUUUGAGGUGAGGAGGAGUCUCAGGCCUUUUGAGGGAGUUGUUUAUUGGUGAAGAGUGAGGAGAUGGAAUAUUGUAGGAUAGUGGAGGUGAGGCCUGCUGUGUGGGAAUUUUCUUUGUGGUGAUGGGAGGGCUCUGAUGGAUGGAAGUAUAUGAGUGGUGGACUUCUUCAUCACUUCCCCCUCUUGAGGGAUGCAAUGGUGGUGCUUCCUCAAGCCAUUGUUUAAGUCCAUCCACCUUGGCACAAACUUCUGCAAAGUGAGCUUUCAUGGUCUCGGCCAACUGUGAGUUGUUUGGGGUGGAGGAGUUGAAGAGCAGCUUGUGUAUAUCUUUGGUGAGCUGGAGGAUCUUAGGGCCAUGGAAGUUAGAGGUGAGGGAUUUCUGCAUGCAGUUGAUAGUGUCAUGAAGAACAAAGAUAGUGUACUCAUAGGCAGUAUGAGUCUCAUCUAUCACUUUCUGAGACAGUGAAGCUUGAUCCGCAAUAGCUGCUUGAAGAUCUUGUUUGAUUGCGGUCACCUCAGUAAUGAGGCAUUCCGCUGCAGCCAUGAAUUCCUGAUGAUCAGCCCUGCGGUUGUUGUCAAGGGACCGGAUCCCCAUUUCUACCUUGAGAGAGAUGCACUCAGCAACCAUACGCUCUCUCGUCUCGAGUCUUUCAACGUGGUCAAUUAAUGACUGCGGUCCUGGAAUAUCUUCAGAUAGAGGUUGGGUAGGUUUAACCACAGCCAAAAUUUGAUCAACUUUGGCUUGGAGAUUGAGGAAUUCCUUCCUGGUGGCAGCAUCCUUCUUCUUUUUCUUUUUCUUUUCAUUGGGUUUGGAAGUGGAAUGUUGGGAACUGCUGGACUCUUCUUCUUCUUCAAACAUCAUAAGGUCGUCGUCUGAAGGAUUUGGUUUGUUGACCUCUUGGAUGUCUUCAUCAUCAAAACUGAAGGUAGGGGCUGAGCUAACUUCAAUUGCCGGCUCUUCGUCUUGAGAUGGGUUGACUACAGGAGAUGGAACAGGAGUUGGAGUAGGAGGAACUUUCGAGGUAGCUGUGGCUGCGACUGAAGCUUGAGCUUUCAUCAUAGUUUCUGCCAUUUGAUCCAUCCAGUUUUGAACCUUUUGGAUUGUGGCAGCAGUAUGGGCAUUGCUGAUGGCAUUUGCCCAAUACUUGGCCACAGACAGUAUUUCCUGUUCCUUCUGUUGUUGUUGUUUGACCUGUUACUCCUUGCGGGCUUGGAAAGCUCUUUUGAAGGCAACAUAUUUCUUGAUUUCGACAUCAGUAGUUGGCUGAUACCGACUCCAAGAAUCACUUGAGUCAUCGCCGUCAAUUCUUUGUGUUCGCACUAAGGUGUCCUUUGGGUUCACGGAUCCUUGCACAUGUGUGCUCGCUGUGCCUAAAUCACCUGAAAGGAAUAGAAGCAGAGUAGGAUUUCCUGGGCUUCCUUGAUCUCCUUGACUUGUGGUCAAGUCUGGCCUCGACCCAGUUCUGGCAUGGGUGAAAGAGAUGCCCUGCGGAUGGAUUGGUAUUUGAAGUGUUUAGGAUACUUUCAAAAGGAUGGAGUCCAACUCCCGGAAGAAAAAAUGUGCAGUCGGGAAGCCCUGGAGACCUUAGGGCAAUGUCGAGAUUUAUCUACUUGAGAUAUAACUGGGGGGCUGUAUCCACGUUCGGAUGAUGAAGAGGAUGAAACAAUCUCACAUGAUGAGGUUGAGUGGUAUUCGAGUGUGGUAUUGAAUGGAUGUGCGGCCAUCCCAAGGACUACCGGAGCCUGUUGAAAGGCUUCAGUAUCAGUCCGGUCACGCAUUUGGCCAGAGGUUUCGGUUGUUUUUCGUUUCUUGAGGAUAGAUAUUGGUUGUCUAUCUUCCUCAGAGUCACUGCUCGAUACAGUGGUGGGUUUGGUUUUGCGUUUCUUUGAGGGUGCGGUUUGUUUUGGGGCAUUCUUCUUAGGUGUACUAGAUUUCUUUUUGGAUGCCACUGUAUUUCUCCAUUGAGAAGGGUUAGAUAGUGUAGUAGCAGAGGGGGCUGCGGUACCCUCAGGGAGAAUGGUUGCGGAAGGAAGAGGUGGGGUAGAAGGGUAUGGGACAAUACCCUCCGUGGCCUCUAUAUGAUCUGAGACAUAAGCAGUCUCAAGACUAAGCAAAGUAAGAAUGUGAAUGGGAAGCCUGCGGAUAGGUCCAAAUAAAGUUUGAUCAGAAGAGGGAUUGUACCUUUUGAGAUCCUUAGUGACAAAGAUGUUGAUGUCACUGCCCAUGUUGAUACCAACAUCCGCAUGUAGAUCAGAUAUGCAUAAGGACCAGAAUCGAGCAAAUGUGAGCUCGGUUGGGUUCUCCCUUGGGUGCUCUUUGGGAAUAUAUUGGAGGAAAUCAUCCCAAAGAAUCUGGCCAUAAUUGACAUCGUGGCCCGUGUAGAUGCUCCACACUAGUUCAAGGAUCUUCAAACCCAUGUUGUCGAUGCCUCCGGUUCUGCCGGAUAGACAGCGGAUGACAAAAUGGCAUAUGAACUGCCAAACCGCAUGCAGUUGGUUCUUCUUAAACUCACCAAUCCCUCGGAUCGGUUUCUGAUAACCCAUCUGGUAGAGUGCGGUGGUGAUGUCAGAUAACGACGGUGUGAGGAUCUUGAUGGAGGGAAGAAUCAGAAGAUUUAUGACAGACAAGAACUUCUCUUUGGUCAAGAUGACCAAAGAAUCAUUGAUAAGGUUGAGAUGCACUUCUUGGGGGUUCUCCAAUGGUCGGUAUGCAGAAAAAGCACACUUGAAGAGCGUAGAAACAGGAACAACGUCAGUGAAUGCAUCAAAUGAACCAAACAUAAUAUGGUUCUUGAGAAACUUGAUCGUAAGGUUUGAUGGGGCAUUAUACGACGAUGAUCUUCAAAAACUGCUCUGAAGUUGCUUGAGGAUAACGUUGGAGAUGUGGAACCAGUUAGAUUCAUGGAGCCUGAAGCCUUGGAUUGCUUCUUUGAUGCACCUAUUUUCGCCAUUGAGAGAUAAGAGAAUGGAGUUCUUGAGAGUUAUGGGAGUUUUGGAGAGUUGAGAGAGAACAAUCGAUUAAACAGAGAGCGUAAACGAUUUUAAGGAAGGAGACGGGUUUAUAAAGGAGGUAAAAAGGAUUUUAACCCUAGGUGAAAGAUAAAAGAGGGUAAGAAGUCGAAUGGGUUUUUUUUGGGGGGGGGGGNCAAUGAUUUUGGGAUUAAAUCUCAGCCACACGAAGAUGAAACGGGUUUUAGAAAGAUUUUGAGAGAUUUCAAAAAGGGUUUGCAUUUAAUGUAGGAUUAGACGCAUGUCAAUACGUCAGGUAAACGUGGGGUAAUGAGAGAGAAAGUUGUAACUGAUGGGACGUGGUUGGGAGAGGAAAAGACAAGUUGAGGAAUGUGACAGUUUCUAAAGGGAAUGUCAUCAUCCCUAAAAUAAGUGUGAUACGGGGUUUAUUCAGAAAGGGAAUGUGACAGUUUCUAAAGGGAAUGUUUGUAUUUUAUUUAAUGAAGGAUCAUUAAAUAGCACACAAAGAUUCGAGAGUUAAUGAAACUGUUGGAAGUUAUUUAAGAUGAUUGCGGAUGGAAUCAUCAUUGCGGUUGAGAAACUUCAUCACGGAUGAACAAAGGAAAGAUUUUAGAGAGAAUCUGUGAGAAAAACACUUGUACAAAAGUUAGAAAUAAAAGACCAUUAGAACCCAUGAGAGGCACGUAUGACAUAUGGUUGCGGUACCUAGGCUGCGGUACCUAAACCAUCUAUCAUAUGUAAUUCUCAGUUAGAACCGCAUUGGAGACCAAUGAUGGUCUGUGGUAGCUAACACUUCAGAAAGAAUUGCGGGGCUAGAUUCAUCAUUCCCAACAUUUGUAAGAAUGCAUUGAGUCUGGUAGAGUCAAGUGCUUUUGUAAAAUCAUCAGCAAUCUCUUCAUGAGUAGGAACAAAGAUGAGUUCAAUAUUACCUUUCAGAAUAUGAUCUUUGAUGAAAUGAUACCAUAAGUCAAUAUGUUUUGUCUUGGAGUGCUGAAUAGGAUUAUGAGAGAUCGCUAUAGCACUUUCAGAGUCAUAGUAAAUUGGUAUCCACAGCAUUAUGUACCCGUAGUCUAGCAAUUGUGUCUUCAUCCAAAGAACUUGGGAACAAUAGCUGGCUGUGGCCACAUACUCGGCUUCUAUAGUGGAUAGAGAUACACACGUUUGUUUCCUUGAAGACCGGCUGACAAGUAUUCCUCCUAGGAAUUGGCAUCCACCAGAUGUACUUUUUCUAUCGAGCUUGCAUCCUGCAUGAUCCGCAUCUGUGAUGGCUUGAAGACUGAAGUCGUUGCCUGUGGGAUACCAUAAACCCAUUGAUUUGCUUCCUUUAAGAUACCAAAGAAUUUGUUUGGCUACGGUCAUGUGAGACACUUUUGGAUCAGCCUGGUAUCUUGCACAUACACCAGUUGCGAAGACAAUGUCAGGUCUGCUUGCGGUGAGGUACAUCAGUGAACCAAUGAUACCUCUAUAAGUCUUGUGAUCCACCGAUUCACCGGAGGGAUCAGCAGAGAUCUUAUAACCGAAGGCCAUAGGGACCUUAGCAGAAGAGCAGUUGUCCAUUGAAUAUUUCUUCAGAAGUUUAGUGGUGUAUUUUUGUUGAUGAAUAAAAAUUGCUUGCUGAAUUUGUUUGACUUGAAGACCUAGAAAGAAAUUAAUCUCUCUAUUCAUGCUCAUUUUGAACUUGUUGGUCAUGAGCUUAGCAAAUUCAUCUACCAUGCCUUGAUCAGUCGACCCGAAGAUGAUAUCAUCCACAUAUAUUUGUACCAUCAUAAGGUGGUCACCAUUUGCUUUUCUGAAUAAUGUGGGAUCAAUCACUCCUCUUUUGUACCCGGAUGAGACAAGAAAUUCAGAGAGUGUCUCAUACCAAGCUCUUGGGGCUUGUUUCAGACCAUAGACUGCUUUUCCAAGCUUGUAGCAAUGGUCUGGAAAUUCAACAUUUUCAAAUCCUGGAGGUUGCUGAAGAUAAACCUCUUCUUUUAGUUCCCCAUUGAGAAAAGCACUCUUAACGUCCAUCUGGUGUACCUUGACAAUUUUGUGGGCUGCGUAUGCUAGAAAGAUCCGGAUGGCUUCCAUGUGUGCUACCGGAGCAUACGUUUCAUCGUAGUCAAUGCCUUCUAGUUGACUAUAGCCCUUGGCCACAAGUCUUGCCUUGUUUCUGAUGACAGAUGUCUCACCCCAAAACCAAGAACGGCGGAAACGUUCUGGGGCGGAGGACGUCAUGUAUAAUAUCAACAACAAUGUAAAGUAGUAAACAAGCAACAACAUCAUCCAUUUCAUUAAUAAUAUAAUUAUUAUACAAAUAUGUUCUGUCAAAUUUUGAUAAACACUAAAGCAUAAAUCAAAAUGAAAGAUAAGUCUUGAACAAGCUCCAUCUUCCUUUCUCCUUGCAUCGGUACCUGUCUAUGAUGACCUGAGGAUACAAGUAAUUUUGAAAGCGAGUAUCAGCUUUGAAGCUGGUGAGAUCAUAAGUAUUAAUGUGUCUUAAUUUGUAAAACUUAUAAUUUUUAAGACUUGACAUUAUUUUGAAAGAAAGCUCGUAUAAGUAUGAAAAUGUUUGUAGAUCAACUGUAAAUGUUUGAAAAACCCUAGAAAUCACUAUGAUUCCUAUUAGUAACAAAAGGAGUCUUCUACCAAGACUUAACUGUUCUCAAUGUAAUCUUCUACCAAGACCUAGCUGUGUUACUAUUAUUAUUAUUAUAAGAAAUUGUAUCCUUUGGUACUAGGAUACCUAAAUAUAAUUCACCUCAUUGGUUAUGUGAAUGAGUCACAAAAUAAAGGUAAUAAUAUAACUAACCUGAAUAUUACCCUUUGGUACUAGGGUAACUAACAUUGUUAACUUUAAGACAUCCGUAGACGUACUCUUACCUCUGUUGCUAACAGCUGGGUAUAGGAAUAGUUAAUCCCUUAAAGUAUACCUGUAAUGGUACCAACCGUUGACAUCCGUGGAUGUGCUUUUACCUCUGUAGCUAACAGAGAUUCUAGGAAUGGUCAAUCCCACAAUCGUAUCCUUUGGUACUAGGAUAUUAAAUCCAUUCUAUCUCGUCAAAUAUGUGAUUGUAUCACAAGGUAAAGGUAAGAAUGAGGAUUUGAUAACAGAGUCGAUACAUAUAAAAUGUAAUAGGACUCCUCCUGAUAUAUCUAUGUAAAAGUACUCCUAUAAGUGUGAUCAUGUAAUAAUAUAGUAGAGUACUGAAAUGUUCUACGUGUGCUAGCUGUAAUGUGUGUUCUCUCUAUCUAGCAAGUAUAGUAAUGUAAUCGUUCUAGUAUAGUUGUAUAUGUUCUCUUCCUAGUAUAGUUGUAUAUGUUCUCUUCCUAGUAUAGUUGUAUAUGUUCUCUUCCUAGUAUAGUUGUAUAUGUUCUCUUCCUAGUAUAGUUGUAUAUGUACUGUACUGUAAUGUUCUAGAAAGUAUUGACUCAUGAAUGAACUGACUCAUUGUAUGAUAUCGCGUUCUAGUAAUUGUUCUAGUAUCUUCCUAAACUACCCAUAUGGUAGUUUACUAGUAAUCUAUCUGGUACGUAUGGACAUGGAUGUAUACCCUUGCUACCCAAGGGCAUGUGUUGAACUGGAAGGACCUUUUAUGACUAUAUAUGUACACAUGAUAUAUAACUAAUAUUUAAACGACUUUCGGACGAGUACCCGAUAUCCCACCAGACCACAUCUCAAGCGCGAAAAGGAAAUAGGGUGGAUAGCCUUCCUAAGUCUUUUAAACAUUUCUUAUAUAACUAUACAUAUAGAGGCAUGCAAUUUAUAAUAUAAAAGCAUAAAUAAGUUUUGUAAGACAUUUGAAACAUAAAUAUUAUUUUAAGAAAAGAUCGACUUGAUGUCAAUCUAUAAAACAAUUUGAAGGCAUAAGUUUGAUAAAACAGUUUAAGUAUAAGGAAACAUUUGUUUGAAACACAGUUGUAAAUAAGUUUGAAAGGUAAUGUACGGAGUAAGAUGUACAGUGUAAUAAGUAGUUUAAAACAUAUAAAAUGUUUAUAAAAAUCAUUUGAAGGAAACUGUUUGGUAAAACGGCUAAUGAGUAGCCAAAUCUUUUGAAUGUUGUAUAUUAAUCACAUGUGAUUGAUGUAAUAAGUAAUAUAAUCCUACUUACUAAUCACAUGUGAUUGACAUAAUAAGUAGCAUGAUUCUACUUGUAUCCCCCCCAUAAAACAUUUAAAAUAGUUUAAAACAUUAGUUAAGGGGUAUGAACUCACCUGCAGUAAGUGACUGGAAUUGAACGGGCUGUUAUCGUACGGAAGGAUCGGACAAGUGCUUGGUGUCAAGUGAAGACUUAGACACACACAAUGAUCCUAAUUACAUAUGAAGACAUAUGUAUAUAAAUAAUUAGAGAUUUAAUCACUAAUUAUACAAGUAUAAACAUUUAACGCGAGGACAACACUUUUGGUCAAGUGCUAGGAGGCUAAUGGGUUGCAACAAAGGAGUGCAAUGCCCCUAAUGGAAGUUUAAGGUCAAAAGACCAUAUUCAUUGGAGUUUACGGCCCAGGGGAGUAAGCUCUUGGCCGUAAACUCCCAACCAAGGCUUGGAAUGGUACAUUGAAUUACUACAACCUUAGUGGGAAUUGUUUCAAGGCCUAUGCAAGUGUUUGGGCACCAUAUUGACUCCUUUGGGGAGUUUACGGCCCAAAGACCCUUUUCCCUUGGAGUUUACGGCCGUAAACUCCCUUGGGAGGGUUCUUAUGGUUCUUUCAAGUCUCUAUAACAACUAGGAACAAUUCUAGGCUUUAAUACUUGGCUUAAGGAAGGUUUAUGGCACUAAAUGGUACCAUUUUAUGGAGUUUACGGCCUUGGAACCUUUUGGGCCGUAAAUUCCCUCACAAAUGGGGUUUUUAGUAUUUUAACUAGUCCAAAACUCAUCUAGGUACUUGCCCUAAUAGUCUCAUGGACUAAGGAAAGGUUUAGGGUGUCCUUUGACCCCUUUAAAGGAGUUUACGGCCCAAGAAAUACUCUUGGCCGUAAACUCUUCAACAUUUGUGCUUUUCAUGAGUUUUCUAGGUUCUAAACACUUAGGAGUACAUGCCUAAAAUAAAGUCUAAGCCUUAGGGAAAGUUUGAAAGGAUUUUGGCACUUAAACUUGGAGUUUACGGCCUAAGGAGCUUCUUGGCCGUAAACUCCCUUCUAGAAUUGAUUUCAAAUGGUUUUGGUGGAAUAAAUCAUGAGCUUAAGACUUCUAGGUUUUUGUUCUAAGGCUAAAGGAACAUUAGGCACUCAUUUGUGCCUUCACUUGGAGUUUACGGCCCAAGAGAUGUUCCUUGGCCGUAAACUCCUAAAACUAAAUGGUUUUGAUUGAUUUCUAGCCUCUAAUGUUCAUACAUAAAGUCCUUAACUAGUUGCCUAACACGGAAAUGGGACUAGAUGGCCUUUAGGCUUGAUUUUGGAGUUUACUCCCCAAGAACGUUCUUGGGCGGUAAACUCCCGGAUCUUGCAUUUUAGACAUGUAAACAAUGUUAUUUAGCAUAUAACAAGUAUUAAAACACAUCUAGGAAAGUAGACUCACAAUCUGGGAUGAAAACCCGAAGAUCCGUGAGAGAGAAAUCUGCUUUUCUCUAAUUGGAAUUCAACUACUGAACCAAUUUGGUUCAGAAUUCUAUUUAUAGUCCUGAGAUUUUUGGCAGAAAAUAUUUCUAUUCUCGGAAUGGAUUCUAAUGACCUAGAGUAAUGGAAUUACAGUGUUGCACAAAAUCCUAGUGCAUCCACUCUCCUAAUAACUCCUUAGGUGUAAAACCCUAAAACUGCCAAACUUAUUCCAAAAGUUUGAAUUUUCACUGAAACUGCUCUACUUCCAUUGGAUUGAUGUGGUUUGAUUUGAAUGGAAAAUUUCGGGUUGUCACAGUUAAGGGGUAUGAACUCACCUGCAGUAUGUGACUGGAAUUGAACGGGNNNNNNNNNNNNNNNNNNNNNNNNNNNNNNNNNNNNNNNNNNNNNNNNNNNNNNNNNNNNNNNNNNNNNNNNNNNNNNNNNNNNNNNNNNNNNNNNNNNNNNNNNNNNNNNNNNNNNNNNNNNNNNNNNNNNNNNNNNNNNNNNNNNNNNNNNNNNNNNNNNNNNNNNNNNNNNNNNNNNNNNNNNNNNNNNNNNNNNNNNNNNNNNNNNNNNNNNNNNNNNNNNNNNNNNNNNNNNNNNNNNNNNNNNNNNNNNNNNNNNNNNNNNNNNNNNNNNNNNNNNNNNNNNNNNNNNNNNNNNNNNNNNNNNNNNNNNNNNNNNNNNNNNNNNNNNNNNNNNNNNNNNNNNNNNNNNNNNNNNNNNNNNNNNNNNNNNNNNNNNNNNNNNNNNNNNNNNNNNNNNNNNNNNNNNNNNNNNNNNNNNNNNNNNNNNNNNNNNNNNNNNNNNNNNNNNNNNNNNNNNNNNNNNNNNNNNNNNNNNNNNNNNNNNNNNNNNNNNNNNNNNNNNNNNNNNNNNNNNNNNNNNNNNNNNNNNNNNNNGUUCUAGGUUCUACCGAGGACAUAAAUGCUGCAUAGUGGCAGUGAUCAGAUAAGUCCUUGGAAGAACGAGUCUAGAUACUUGUGGAUGGGAGGCUAAUAAUUUGACCUGGUGGGUGGUCUUUCGUCCAUACAUGAAGACGUGGCAGUAGAUGAUCAUCAGCUGCGGUAGAAGGGAUAUCUUGGAUGUCAGAGGAAUCUGCAGUUGGAGAUGGCAGUUCCCCCUGGAUUUGAGAACAUCCUGCUAAAUCAUCUUGAUCUAUUGGAGCAGAAUUUUCUUGAGUAAUCGGCAGAGGUUGAGGUUCCCCCUGGAUUGCGGAUGGGAGUUCCUCUGGAACCUAAUAAGGUUCCCCCUGGAAUUCAGAUGGGAGAGUGACAAUUCUAGGAUCGGUUCUAGUGUCAAUAUUCUCUAUGAAUUCAUCAUCUGAGUCCGAAGGUUCGUUUGAUGGUGAAGCUUCGCUUCGGGCAGGAAUGUAAGCAUCAUCAAGUACUGGAACCUCAACGGUUGCGACUAGAUUCAGAGUAGAGCUUCCCCCCCUCAACCGGAGAGGUGGAAGUAUUGAGCGAUACUACUUCAGAUAGAGAUGGUCCAGAUACGUCGGCAUGUUGUUGUUGAGCUACGGGUGACACACGAACUUCGGAUAGUUUUGCCGUUUGAAUGGGAUCAAAAAGAUCAUCAUAGUUGAAUUCAACUAGAUUUAGAGGUCCGGAAGCGGCUGGAAUGUCACUUUCCAUGAUUAUAGUGGUUUCGGUGGAUGGAGGUGCGAUGUGGAUGUGAGAAUCAUCAAAUUUCACAUCAAAGCUUUCAAUGAUCAACCUUGUUCGUCUGAUGAGCACUCGAUAUGUAACCUUGUUAGUGGAAUAACCAAGGAAGAUACAUUCGUCAGAUUUUGGUGCAAACUUGUUGAGUUGGUCUCUAUUGUUGAUCACGAAGCAUCUACAUCCAAAGAUAUGAAAGAAACGAACAUUGGGUUUGCGAUUGUUGAGACCUUCAUAUGGUGUUUUAUUGAGACGCUUGCACACUAUACUUCGGUUUUGAACAAAGCAUGCGGUUGCUACUGCUUCAACCUAGAAGUAGAGAGGAAGUUGGGCGAAGUUAAGCAUGGAUCUGGCUGCUUCAACGAGUGUGCGGUUCCUUCUUUCUACUACACCAUUUUGUUGCGGUAUAUAGGGUGCUGAGAAGCUGUGAGAGAUGCCUUUGGAAACUAGAAAACUGUUGAGAAGAUGAUUAGUGAACUCAGUUCCAUUGUCACUGCGGGUGCGUCUGACUGGAAGCUUGAUUUGAAGUUCGAUUUCUUUGAUGAAGUUAAUGAAGAUUUGUGGUGUCUCUGAUUUGAGUAUGAGAAAGAAGAACCAUGUGAAGCGUGUAUAGUCAUCAACAAUAACCAGUAUAUAAUUUUUGUGGUGAAGACUGGCUACGGUUGAGGGACCGCAGAGAUCAAUGUGUAAUAGCUCCAGUGGUUCAGAGAUAGAAGAAUCCAUUAUCAGAGGAUGGCUUGCUUUUGAUUGUUUACCGCAUUCACAAGCUGGACAAAGAGUAUCGUUGCUGAAUUUGAGAAUGGGGAGACCGCAGACUAGUUCUCCAGUGACGAGGUUGUUGAUGUACCGAAAGUUGAGAUGAGCUAGCUUGCGAUGCCAUAGCCAGCAGACUUCGGAUACAACUUUGGACAGAAAGCACAGCUGCGGUUUACCAAUGAUGAGAGAAACAUCCAGAGGAUACAUCGUGCCUUCGGAGCGAGAUUUGAUUAAGCAAGUGCUUCGAUCACUCGUCAUUAUGUAACAGAAUUGAUCAUCAAAUUCAACACGAUGUCCUGCUUUACAUAGUUGGCCAACACUGAUAAGAUUGUGUUUAAGGCUUUCUACAUAAGCAACCUUCUGAAUGGAAAAGUUCCCCGUAGUGAGAACACCGUAACCUCGGAUGACACCGUUUGCAUUGUUGCCAAACGUGACAUUUCCACCAUUGCAUAUAGGCCUGAAAUCCCGAAGGUACUCUAACCUUCCGGUCAUGUGCAAGGAGCAGGCAUUGUGAAUUAACCAUUCUUCUUCUUGUUCCUCCUUGCACAAAGCCUGAGAAUUAAACGGUUAGUUUAGGCAUCCAAAUAAGUUUGGAGCCAGGGACAAUUGAUGUAUUUUUAAAUGAUGCAUAGUCCGAGGUUGCAUAAACAGGUCUUUUGUCAACUUUUAGACCUAGUCCUGGGUGUUUGUUCAGGUUUGGAUUGUUGCGAGUUUUUUGAAAAGUACGAGGUUUCUGACUUUGAUUUGACUUGACAUGAGAUAAAACCUUUUGACAGUUGCACUGACAUUUACAAAAAGAGAGUUUGUCAUUGAAUCUGACAUUAUGCUUGGUCAGCGGUUUAUAGAGUGAAUUGGACUUGGUAUGGGUCCGAGGCGGGUAACUUCUGAAAGAUUUGACAUUUGGUUUCUGAAAAGUUUGUUUUGAAUGAAGUUUUGGACUGUGAGAUUUGACAUGCAUGUUGUUUGGUUUCUGAAAAGUUUGUUUUGAAUGAGGUUUAGCACGUGUAAAUCUUUGAGUCCCUUUAGGUGGAUUUGGUAAGAUUCCCUUCCACUUGUUUUGAUGUGAUUUUAAAAGUGUUGGAGUGGGUAAAAUUUCUUUCCAAUUAGGGUCUUUUGAGGAAUAGACCUGAAAAACAUAGUUUCUUACAAGUUUGACACCUUUUUGGGUUAUGUCAGAAGUAGCAGAAAUGACUUUUGAAACUGAACUUCCAUUUUUGCUUGUUUCCAUGAAAGAAGAGUUUUUUGAAAUGUAGUUUGUGAAAACAAAUUUUUCUCGACUCUUAGAUUUUGGAAUUCUCACAUGUUUCUUAUUUUUUGAAAAACUUUGUCUGCUUGUGCCUUGAGAUCUAAUUUCUUCUUUGAAAUCCCUUUUUGCCAAGGAUUUUGGUGAACCACAGUCAUUGUUAUUCAACUGCGGUUUCCUGGAAUUUUUUGAAUGAUUUUGAGAACGUGGGCUUGAAUCAUCAGAACUUAAGGAUUCUGGAAUUUGAGAGCAUUGGCCUACUUCAAAAUUUUCUAUAGGUAACUCAUGAAAAAUUGGCUGAAGAGUUGUGGUUCCUUGAACUGAUAGUUUUGGUAAAGAUGAUGUGACUACUACAGAGUAGGUUUUAGAUGAAACUGCGGUAGGACACUUCUGGGACAUUUGACUACCGUGUGGAACACUGUGGUCUGAGGACAAAAAUGGAAAUUCCUUUGAGACUUUGGGGCCUUCAAAAAUAAUUUCUUCAUCAACUACGGAUGAAGUUUGAGAAUUUGAAUGGGUGGUGCCACUGAUGGGAGUUUGAUCACAUGUGUGACCAUAAUCCUCACGCACAAUUUACUUAAUGACACAAUUAUUGCUUAAAUUGUGCAGUCUACCGAAGUGAGUUUUGAUAUCUUCAGGAAAAGUCUUGUCAUUGACAGGGAAAUGAAAUUCUCUAUCAGGAGGGACAUACAAUCUGUCUUUGUUGAACCGGGGUGAGGCAUCCAUUGCGGUAGGAUACCCAUUUGACCAACCCCAAUUAUAUCUAUUGUCCACGGUUCCAUUGUUUACCAAAUUUUCAAUAGCCUCACUUUCAUCAAAUAAUUUUUCAAUUAAGAGAUUUAAGCGUACAAUUUCUCUCUGAGCUAAAUCUCUCUGGUUCAAAGCUAUCUCUAAUUGGGUUUCACUUAGCAUUCUAUCAUAUUUCUCUAACUCUAAAUCCUUCUCUAACAUUGCCAUCUUAAGUCUCUUGUUAUCCAGUCUUCCUCUCACAUGGAACAUCUCUUGGGACGCAAUGUUCUUCUCAUCUAAGGCUUUGUUAUAGUCUAUAAGGACGGCAGCACAAGUGUCAUUAAGAUCAUCUAUGUAGGGUUGACAGUCAUGCAUACUAUAAUUUAAAGUUUGGAUCAUGAGUUUUACCUGUUCGACGAUGCUUAGAGUCCCAUCCUUUGCCAUUUAGCAGUAGUUUUUGUUUAACAUUGCUGACCCAUCAUCAUCCGCGGUGGCCAGCAUGCAGAUUUUCCCUUUUCCUUUAACACUGUUGAUGGUCUCUUCUUCAUCUCCUGAUGACCAAACUUGAUGGUCUCUUUUAACUUGGGCCACAUAUGCCCUUGCUUUUUCUUUUUCUUCGAACUCUUGAGCCAUUCUAAGAUAGAAUGCUCUGUCCUUGACUACAUUGGCCUUACAAUCUUUUGCGAAGUGAUUUUCUUUAUUGCUUUGUGACAAAUCACAACAUCAGUCUUGUCUUCUGAUUGAGUACCGGAGUCAUUGUUCUGAGGAGACUGCAGUACCUCCUUUGGUUGAUUAUUGUGAGAGCCUUUGGGAUAUCGAGAAUGGUUGUUCUGAGGACCGAAGUUACGGUUGAAUGGAGGUUUGUUGAAUUGUUGAUUCUUGCGGAAAGAAGAAGGUGGUAUGCGGUUGAACUGUUGGCUAGCCAGAGCAAUAGCCUUCUGAAAUUCUUCUUCGUCAUCAUACUCAGAAUCCACUUCGUAUGAAUGCAGUGGGGUAUCAUACGAUGAAGAGUAGGGUGACUGCGGUGGAGCUUGUGCUAUGAGAGCAAGCGGUCCUCCGAAGUCAGCACAGUCUUUGAGUAUAGUGGGUUCUUGUGCUUGGAGCUCUCCAUAGAGUUUGUAGAGUGAUAAAGAGUGAAUCUUCCUGUCGCCUUGGACUAUCAUCUUAGCCGUAGUCCAAUGUCUUCCUAAACCAUUAAGGAACUGGAGAUUGGUUUCAUGGUUGCUGCGGAUGGUACCAGCAUUUGAUAACUUUGUGACUAUCAGGUUGAACCUCUUGAAGGAGUCUUCCAAACUUUCACCCGUAUGAGCUUUGAAGUUGUUGAAGUUGUUGAGUGCGGUAGUGAGCUUCUUAUCUUGUGCUUGUUCUGAGCCUUCGUACAGGUUCUUGAGUACAUCCCAGAUCUCUUUUGCUGACUUGCAGUUUAUGAUAAUAUCAAAGUUGUCAGGAGCAACACCGCAAGAAAUUUCAUAAAAAGCAACAACAUCAUUUUCCAUUUUAUCGAGAUCAUCCUUGGUGGGACGGCUCAUGGUUGGUUGACCUCCUCCUGGCCUAGUUGCCGCGCCGUCAGUUUGGACUGGUGUAGGGACUGGAACGUGUGGUCCUUCUUCUACAGAUCGCCAUACAUCUCUACCCAGUCUUCUUAAAUACCUCUCCAUUCUUUGUGACCAAUGGUGAUAUUCAUUUGCUACCAGUAUUGGAGCUCUGUUAGAACCACCAACACUAUUGGAAACAUUCAGAGAUAACGAUUGUGCCAUUUUGUUUUUUUUUUUUCGAAAUGAGCUUUAGUGGUAUAGAAGGCCUAAUGAUAAAUCAGAGUUCUGAUAUUCAAAAAAGCAACCACUUUGGCUCUGAUACCAAUUGUUGAGAGAAAAAACUUGGAGACACACUUGAACAAACGUUAGAACAAGUAUAUUGCAGAAUAGUUAAUCUCAAAGGAUCUAAAAGCUCAACAAUAAUAUAUUUAGAUAGUUAGAUAGUUAGUUGCGGAAAGUAAAGAAAUAUAAAUGAAAGUAAUUGUUAUAUCAAGAAUACACUUAAACUAAUUCAUAACAAGGAAUGCAUUCACUCCUAGUUAAUAACGAAGAUCAAGUUUAGUGAUUAAGUCUAGAGGACUUGCUCCGGAGAGAGGUUAUAGUUUGAUAUGUUUCAGUAGCAAUUUAGAGUAAGAAGAGUAGAAAGAUAGAGAAAUGAAGAAGAUAACUUGGAGAAAUAUAUUCAGAAUAAUUCACAAGUUAUCGAAUGAUAAGAAAGAUGGUUGAAGAAGAAAUCUCGUAGUAAGAAGUUGUAAUAAUACAUCAUAAGGAGUCUCUAUUUAUAGAGUCUCGGAACUAAACAACUACUCUAUAAGCAGCCGUGCAAGGCAUGCUGGAUAACAGAGUACAUUACAUAAGGAUAAGAAAAACAUAACAAUGGACUGCGGAUGCUGAAGAAGAACUGACUCCGGGUGCUGAGAUGAUCGCGGAUGGUGAACCGUUGCGGUAGAUCGAUGAUUGCGGUAUCUUAGUUCAAGAGGGUCACUUUUAUGUUUCAACAAGUAUCGAUCAAGAACUAACAUAGUAUUAAUUAAAUGAUCAAAAGAAGACUAAUUAAAUAUAUGGGUUGAUUGUGUAAAUCAUCCAUACUUGUAUAGUGGGCUAAUGCUCCAUGGAUAAUCAAGUUGGGCUAAAACCCAUAGGAUGGUCCAUGGAUGCUCCAUGGUGUAUUUGUACCCAUGGAUCAUGGAAAUGAAAGGCCAUGACAAUUAGGGUUUACAUGGUGUAACCCUAACUAUAUAAUGAUCUUAUUCUUGGAGAAAACCGGCCACUAUGUGUGAGAAAAAGGGCUAGCUGAUUUUCAUAAAGUGUGGAUUUCUCUCUAAUCUAUUCCAAGUGUAUUUGGUGUUGUGUGAACCAUUUGAGCUGUCACACUUGGGGCACUAGGCACUCAAGCUUCAUGAAGACAUUCUACAUCAAAAAGGUAUGUAAUUCUAACUUGAUAUAUUCAUAUGGAUCAAUGUUAUUAUGCUAGUUAGGAUGAAUACCUUGGAAAGUUCAUAUUUGCAUGUAUAAUAGAGAAAACAUAGAUCCAAGGUAUUUAGGGUUGCAUGUACACUUAGGAGUGUUAUAAUGCUCAAAUUUCAAUAGUGGUAUUAGAGCCUAGGCUUGUUUUCUUGUUAUACUUGAAAAAUUGGCUUAAAAAUCGAAUUUUGAUGCUGUCUGCACAGCAGACUCGGCGAGUCCACUGAUGGACUCAUCGAGUCCAAGGCAAAAGGCAUCCAACUCGCCGAGUUGGUUCGUGCACUCGAUGAGUUGGACCCCCAGACAGCAUAUAUUUGAUCGUUUUGGCUGGAAUUGGACUAGGAACAUUACCCUAAGAUGUUUUUGGACUUAUAAACUUGUUUUUGAUGUGGUAAUGUUCAUGCUAAUCCAAUUUCAAAGAUAAUUGUCAAUAGAUUCAUGUUUUGUAUUAGUUUAAGGUUUAGACUAAUUACAUGAAAAAGUUUGAUUUGAAUUAUCUUGUUCUUAUGAGUUGCUUAGAUUAAUAGAAANNNNNNNNNNNNNNNNNNNNNNNNNNNNNNNNNNNNNNNNNNNNNNNNNNNNNNNNNNNNNNNNNNNNNNNNNNNNNNNNNNNNNNNNNNNNNNNNNNNNNNNNNNNNNNNNNNNNNNNNNNNNNNNNNNNNNNNNNNNNNNNNNNNNNNNNNNNNNNNNNNNNNNNNNNNNNNNNNNNNNNNNNNNNNNNNNNNNNNNNNNNNNNNNNNNNNNNNNNNNNNNNNNNNNNNNNNNNNNNNNNNNNNNNNNNNNNNNNNNNNNNNNNNNNNNNNNNNNNNNNNNNNNNNNNNNNNNNNNNNNNNNNNNNNNNNNNNNNNNNNNNNNNNNNNNNNNNNNNNNNNNNNNNNNNNNNNNNNNNNNNNNNNNNNNNNNNNNNNNNNNNNNNNNNNNNNNNNNNNNNNNNNNNNNNNNNNNNNNNNNNNNNNNNNNNNNNNNNNNNNNNNNNNNNNNNNNNNNNNNNNNNNNNNNNNNNNNNNNNNNNNNNNNNNNNNNNNNNNNNNNNNNNNNNNNNNNNNNNNNNNNNNNNNNNNNNNNNNNNNNNNNNNNNNNNNNNNNNNNNNNNNNNNNNNNNNNNNNNNNNNNNNNNNNNNNNNNNNNNNNNNNNNNNNNNNNNNNNNNNNNNNNNNNNNNNNNNNNNNNNNNNNNNNNNNNNNNNNNNNNNNNNNNNNNNNCAGUUUAAUGGGUGUCCACUCUCAUCCACCGCUUCCUUGACCGGUGGAGGGUCGUUAGCCGAACGGGUAGGACAAGGACUAGAUUUCUCCCUUCAUUAAAAAUAUUAAUGAUAAAUACUAAGUAACUAAACUCUUAUUAAUACCCAAUCUUAGUUACUUAGGAAAAAUUGUGAAUAAAGUGCUAAUCCAUGAAAUUACACUUUGUACUUUGUUUAAGCCGUUAGUGGAGCGUGUGUGGUUAACCAACACACUAACUUGGACUUAACAAGGUAGACAAAGGGUAACUUAAUAUUUAUCAUAGUAUUGGUGGAGCGUCUGUGGUUAACCGGCACAUCGAUUAAGGGGUAAAUAUUAAGGGUACCAAGUAUAUUUGCAUGGUUACUUCACACCUUGUUUUGUGUUCCUCGGCAUCCUAGUCACAAAAACCUGAAGGGCACACUCGAGAUUGAAACAUGCCAUUGAACAGUUCAAUGAAUCUAAAAAGAAUCUAGGAGUUUCAAAACCAAUUAAAACCUAAUAAUACAUUUCGUUUAUCUUGGUGGAAAUUGGUGAAUCAUCAUUCACCUACCUUCAAAUAUUUUAUAGCUUGGAUUACGGCAUCCCUCUUCUAAGUUAUAAAAUAGUUUGUUGGGUCCUAGCCUUAAUAUUUCAUAUUGGGUGUUAUAUUAAGGACUUUAAAUCAACUAUCUUGAAUAUCUCCCAAAAGAUGUCUAGUUCAGACAUCUAUGAUCUUCCCAAAUCUCUUGGAACUUCACUUCCUCCACCUCCUCCAAUUAUUCUCCCUAACCCACAAGUUCAAGGUCACUCAAGCCCUAUUGGCAAGGCAAGGUCUAGGUGUGAUCACAUCUUGGAGAUGAAGUCACAUAUUGACAAGCAAGGAGAGUGGGUGUCAAAGUCUUGAGAAAGUUGGUGGUUCAAUCAAUUUCUAAGUCACAUAGUGAUUUCCUUUGGGACUUAUAUGAAAUAGACUAUGACAAGACCCUUAAUGAUGUUAUCUAUUUGCUUGGUACUGCUGAAUCAAACUUUAUGGACAUUGACAAUGAUGACAUUGGAUAUCCAGUAAAGCAUUCUCUUCCCAAUGGAAAGGGAUCGGCUAUAGUCAACUCGGUUGACCAAAUGGUAAAGAGAAAAGCUAAGUCUGUGAUAGUCCUGUGUACCAUUAUCAAAGGGUCCAUAUGUUUGUAUUGCCAAAGAAAGGGCAUUGGUUGCGAAGCUGCCAAAUUUACCUAAGGAUGUUAAAGUCAAUAAGUUUGACUCUACUUCAGGUAAAAUCCACUAUCUAACUCUGUUAAGUUUCUAUUCUGAGAUUCUUGAUACAUGAUGUGACUGGGUCACAUGGUGAUGGUUUAAGAAUCAAAGGAAAGUGAAGAAACUUAAAGGAAGAAUAUGCUGAAUCUGAUCGCAUAGAUGGAUUUCUAUCGCAUAGUUUGAAAAAUCGGAUUCUUGAGCUACUUCUUAGGAGUUAUGAGAUAUUGCUUAGGAAUAGAUAACAACAAGUUUUCAUAUGGAUUGUAAGGAUAGUUUUUCCGCAAAGUUUUAAAAUAAAAGGAAAUUUUUGAUUUUAUUUAUUUUAAAAUAUCCUUACAAUGGCAUCUGUGGAAAUUUUUGUUGCUUAUAAGAUUCCAUUAGUAGCAAGAGUGGAAGUAUGAAAUUGAUUCUUUCAUUUGUGGUAAUGUCUAAAUUUACCAAAUAAGGAAAGAUUCUCAUCACCCAAGUUUCAAUUGGACCGGAACUUGGAAUCAUGCAAGUUGUAUAGCAUGAUGAAUGAGAACUUUCAAGUUUUGGAAAAUUAAGACUAAUUACUUGUUCACAUGGAUGUGUGAGUCAAGUAAAGGACUUAGGGAUCGAGUACACAUUCUUGUGCACUGAUUAAGUCCACCACUAAAGAUCGAUAAGAAGAAUCAAAUAAGGCAGAAGGAUAAAAGUUUCUCAAAUCUGAAAAGAUGGGAGAGUACUUUAGUAUCAGUUUUGUGAUCAUCUUAAUGAUUAAGAAACCAUAUCAAAAUUAGUUCUCUAAGGAAAUCUUAGUGCAUUCUUAUGACUAAGAAGAGGAACUUGAAUUGUUGAAAUGGUUAAAUCAAGAAGAUGAGUCAUACUUCGUUCCAAUACAAGUCUUAGAGUCAUACUCCAAGAUUGUCAUUUGAGUGACAUGUCUUAAAGAAGGUUUAAAACACUUGUCAAAUGUAAGAGUAAAAGUUUUCUACUCUUGUACAUUUGAAAUUGGUAAGUUGUGAUGUUUUGGAUAAAACAAAGACCAACUUAGGCCAAUUGGGUAAAGUGUUUUUCUUGAUUAGAAUCCGCACUAUCUCUUGGAUGUUUGACAAGGGAGUCUUAUAUGUCAAGAGGACAGUGGGAGUCUUAAAGGUCUUGAAAGUCUCAAGAACUAAUCAAGAGUAAAACCUGAAGUUCUUCACUAGCACACGACUUGAGGUUUAUAACCUAUCGUGUUGACAUAUUCUGUGCCCAUUCCAAUUAAAGUGGAUUUGCAUAUGAGUUCUUAGAGUUCUCAAUUGGUUGCUUAACAACUUGGAAGCAAUGGCAGACUCUUGAGCUGCCAGGUGGCAAGAAAUUAAGAUUGAGUUCAGUCCAUAUGAGUUUGGAUUUGUCAUUAUCCUUGUCUUGUGACUAUGGUUUUUGACAAUUCACAUGGAUAAGAACACAUACACCAUUAAAUCUAAGUGUCAUAAGGUUUCUCUCCGAUUCAUGAAAAUGAUGGUGAGGAAACACUUUCACUAAGUAGAUUUUAGCUAGAUAGCAAUUGUGAUAUUUUCAUUCUCAAAGUCGUUAGUGG
rnacentral:lncRNA from 1 species